GCAGUCGAGGGGUAUAGUUCUUCGGGAUUAGAGACCGGCGCACGGGUGCGUAACGCGUAUGCAAUCUACCUUUCACAGAGGGAUAGCCCAGAGAAAUUUGGAUUAAUACCUCAUAGUAUAUGGACUUGGCAUCAAGAUCAUAUUAAAGUCACAACGGUGAAAGAUGAGCAUGCGUCCCAUUAGCUAGUUGGUAAGGUAACGGCUUACCAAGGCAACGAUGGGUAGGGGUCCUGAGAGGGAGAUCCCCCACACUGGUACUGAGACACGGACCAGACUCCUACGGGAGGCAGCAGUGAGGAAUAUUGGUCAAUGGGCGCAAGCCUGAACCAGCCAUGCCGCGUGCAGGAUGACGGUCCUAUGGAUUGUAAACUGCUUUUGUACGGGAAGAAACAGCGAUUCGUGAAUCGCCUUGACGGUACCGUAAGAAUAAGGAUCGGCUAACUCCGUGCCAGCAGCCGCGGUAAUACGGAGGAUCCAAGCGUUAUCCGGAAUCAUUGGGUUUAAAGGGUCCGUAGGCGGUUUGGUAAGUCAGUGGUGAAAGCCCAUCGCUCAACGGUGGAACGGCCAUUGAUACUGCCAGACUUGAAUUAUUAGGAAGUAACUAGAAUAUGUAGUGUAGCGGUGAAAUGCUUAGAGAUUACAUGGAAUACCAAUUGCGAAGGCAGGUUACUACUAAUGGAUUGACGCUGAUGGACGAAAGCGUGGGUAGCGAACAGGAUUAGAUACCCUGGUAGUCCACGCCCGUAACGAUGGAUACUAGCUGUUGGGAGCGAUCUCAGUGGCUAAGCGAAAGUGAUAAGUAUCCCACCUGGGGAGUACGUUCGCAAGAAUGAAACUCAAAGGAUUGAC
rnacentral:rRNA from 1 species